GGCAGUUCAUCACUGUCAAGCUCCUUGAGAUCCAGUAGCCCUUCACCAUCACAUUCCAUUCCAUUCCAUAACUUGGCGUCAUUUUGAUGUCAAUACUUUUGAGUUUCUGCCUCUGCUGCUGACGUUGAGAGGUCCUUAACUUUGCCUGACAGUCCUCGAUUGAUUGUUCUCGGUAUGCAUGUAACUCGCCUCCGCAGGCGAGGACCCGUGGCGACGGAACCUCUCCAAACUUCGCUAUCCCUCACUGACCCCCCUGUGACGACUUCACGGUCGCAGGAGGGCUAUGGAACUGCCAGUCUGCUACGCGGAAGGCUGACUUCAUUUCAGCCUACGCGUCCCUCUUCUCCCUACAUUUCCUUGCCCUCACUGAGACCUGGAUCACACCAGGCAACACUGCAACCCCUUCAGCCCUCUCCUCCUCCUUCUCCUUCUCUCACGCCCUCCGCCCGUCUGGCCGUGGUGGGGGCACAGGUUUGCUGAUCUCUCCCUCUUGGAAAUUCUCUGUUCUCCCCCUUUCUCACCUCUCCAUCUCUACCUUUGAAUACCACUCUGUCUCAAUCACCUAUCCUGUUAACUUGUACAUUGUUGUUAUCUAUCGCCCUCCAGGGCCCCUGGGAAGCUUCCUCGAUGAGCUCAACACCCUGCUCAGCUCCUUCCCAGAGAAUGGUGUAGAGGGGAGUCAAACUGGGACCCAGAAAAGGCUGGCAUUUGAACGGGCCUGCAGGCUGGGACUCAUCCUGUACUUCAAAGAACCCAGAGCCGUGUGAUAAAACAAUAAGUUACUUGGACUUCCUCGGGAUAAGCAGGCCAUUUGGCUCUCUGGAAUGUUGCCAUCUGGACACAUCUAAGAUAAGGGGAACUAGUCUCUUUGUCUAUGGUUGUGGGGGUAUGUGUGUUCGGGCCAUUAAGGGUAAAAAGAUCAUCAGGCCUCUGGACAAAUGGUGGGGCAACUACGCUUGACAGUUCCACAGUGCCGUUAUGUGGGCCCCUCUAUCAUUACACUUUUUAUUUAUUUUCUGGAUCUGGACUCUAAACCAUCUGUUUAUCAUAUUUACAAACCCCGGAAAACCUUACAAACCAUGCACGUGUUUUCAUUAUAUUACUGUAUUAUGCCUUAUGUAAUAAUAACAUGGAUUGCAUGUAAAAUGCUUCAACAAAAGGGUAUUUUCAUGACAACUGCACCAUAAUAUUACAUCCCCUGGACAUGUUUGGCAUAUUCAGGAAAAUUCCAGAAAUUGAAUGAAAAAUGUUUCAUACCCAAUAAAAUUUAAUAAAACAUAUUUUAAAUUGUA